AACUAACGCUGGCGGCGCGUCUUAAACAUGCAAGUCGAGCGGUAACAGUCCCUUCGGGGAGCUGACGAGCGGCGAACGGGUGAGUAACACGUAGGUAAUCUAUCCUCGGGCGGGGGAUAACCUGCCGAAAGGCAGGCUAAUACCGCAUAACAUCCUUUUGACUGAGGUUGAGAGGAUCAAACCCGCAAGGGACCUGAGGGUGAGCCUGCGUCCGAUUAGCCAGUUGGUGAGGUAACGGCUCACCAAAGCGACGAUCGGUAGCCGGCCUGAGAGGGUGAACGGCCACACUGGAACUGAGAUACGGUCCAGACUCCUACGGGAGGCAGCAGUUAAGAAUCUUGCACAAUGGGCGCAAGCCUGAUGCAGCGACGCCGCGUGGGUGAAGAAGGCCUUCGGGUUGUAAAGCCCAACAGACAGGAAGAAGAAAGUAGACGGUACCUGUUGGAAGCACCGGCUAACUACGUGCCAGCAGCCGCGGUAAUACGUAUGGUGCAAGCGUUGUUCGG
rnacentral:rRNA from 1 species